AGAGUUUGAUCCUGGCUCAGAAUGAACGCUGGCGGCGUGCUUAACACACGCAAGUCGCACGAGAACUCUUCUGCUUGCAGAAGAUAGUAAAGUGGCGCACGGGUGAGUAACGCGUGGGUAAUCUGCCUUCAAAUCGGGGAUAACAUUGCGAAAGUGAUGCUAAUACCGGAUAAUGUCCAAUAAGCUCUGGCUUAUAGGAUUAAAGGUGGCCUCUAUAUAUAAGCUUCCGUUUGAAGAUGAGCCCGCGUACCAUUAGCCAGUUGGUAGGGUAAUGGCCUACCAAAGCGACGAUGGUUAGCUGGUCUGAGAGGAUGAUCAGCCACACUGGAACUGACACACGGUCCAGACUCCUACGGGAGGCAGCAGUGAGGAAUUUUGCGCAAUGGGGGAAACCCUGACGCAGCAACGCCGCGUGAGUGAUGAAGGCCUUCGGGUCGUAAAGCUCUGUCAAGUGGGAAAAACUUGCAUAAAAUGAAUAUGGUUAUGCAUUGACGGUACCACUGAAGGAAGCACCGGCUAACUCCGUGCCAGCAGCCGCGGUAAUACGGGGGGUGCAAGCGUUAUUCGGAUUUAUUGGGCGUAAAGAGCGCGUAGGCGGUUCUUCAAGUCAGGUGUGAAAGCCCGGGGCUUAACCUCGGAAGUGCAUUUGAUACUAGAGAACUUGAGUAUGGGAGAGGGAAGUGGAAUUCCUGGUGUAGAGGUGAAAUUCGUAGAUAUCAGGAGGAACACCGGUGGCGAAGGCGACUUCCUGGACCAAUACUGACGCUGAGGCGCGAAGGCGUGGGGAGCAAACAGGAUUAGAUACCCUGGUAGUCC
rnacentral:rRNA from 1 species